AGCGUCCGUGUCGUGAGAUGUUGGGUUAAGUCCCGCAACGAGCGCAACCCUUGUGUUUUAGUUGCAAACAGGUCAAGCUGUGCACUCUAGACAGACUGCCGUGGACAACACGGAGGAAGGUGGGGAUGACGUCAAAUCAUCAUGCCCCUUAUGAUCUGGGCUACACACGUGCUACAAUGGCCGGUACAACGGGCAGCGAAGGAGCGAUCCGGAGCGAAUCCUAAAAAGCCGGUCCCAGUUCGGAUUGCAGGCUGAAACUCGCCUACAUGAAGUUGGAGUUGCUAGUAAUCGCGAAUCAGAAUGUCGCGGUGAAUGCGUUCCCGGGUCUU
rnacentral:rRNA from 1 species